UACGUAGGGUGCAAGCGUUAUCCGGAAUUAUUGGGCGUAAAGAGCUCGUAGGCGGUUUGUCGCGUCUGCUGUGAAAACUGGGGGCUCAACCCCCAGCCUGCAGUGGGUACGGGCAGACUAGAGUGCGGUAGGGGAGAUUGGAAUUCCUGGUGUAGCGGUGGAAUGCGCAGAUAUCAGGAGGAACACCGAUGGCGAAGGCAGAUCUCUGGGCCACUACUGACGCUGAGAAGCGAAAGCGUGGGGAGCGAACAGG
rnacentral:rRNA from 1 species